rnacentral:rRNA from 1 species
GGUAGGGGGUGUGAGAGCACGACCCCCCACAAGGUAACUGAGACACGGGACCUACACCUACGGGUGGCAGCAACUGGGAAUCUUGCGCAAUGGACGAAAGUCUGACGCAGCGACACCGCGUGUGGGAUGAAGUAUUUCGGUAUGUAAACCACUGUGGCGAGGGAUGAAGAUCUGACAGUACCUCGCUAGAAAGCAUCUGCUAACUACGUGCCAGAAGCCUCGGCAAUGCGUGGGAUGCAAGCGUUAUCCGGAUUUACUGGGCGUAAAGGGUUUCGCAGGCGGAUUGUUAAGUCUAGUCUUAAAUACUGGGGCUCAACCCCAGCUACAGGAUUGGAUACUGGCAGUCUUGAGGAUAUCAGGGGGAACUGGAAUACUCGGUGGAGGGGUGAAAUCCGUUGAGAUCGAGUAGAACGCCAAUGGCGAAGGCAGGUUCCUGGGGUAUUCCUGACGCUCAGGUACGAAAGCUAGGGUAGCAAACGGGAUUAGAGACCCCGGUAGUCCUAGCCGU